rnacentral:lncRNA from 1 species
UCCUUUUAUAGGCAAGCAAAGUCUUGGUAUCUUGGGUAUGAAGCAUUGGAUGCUUGAAAACAAAGUCAUAAAAGUGACAUAAAAUGUCAUUAAAGAGAGUCAUAAAAUAGUCAUAAAAUUCUUGUAAGGCAUAGAAAUGAGAGGCUAUGCCUAAGAAUUCUGGUUUGCAGCCUCAACACAUUACCAACCAAAUAUCCACUCUGAACCCUACUAACCAUACAAGGGAAACAGGAGAGACA